AGUCGCUGUUACUGAGACAUGGUAUAAUGAGAAAAAUGACUGGGAAAUAGCAAUACCAGGGUACUCUUUAUAUAGAAAAGACAUGGAAGGCAAGAAAGGGGGAGGGGUGGCCCUGUAUGUGAAGGAUAACAUAAAAUCUAGCCUAAUAAAAGUUAGUGAGGUGAACAUAGAGUCUGUUUGGGUUACUUUACAAUUUGGUAAUCACACAGUAACUGAUGUGAAUUGGAAAACCAAAAUAGCUGCUUUUGCCAGGAGCACACAUAUUCUAAACUCCCUACUGGGAUUGUCUCUAAAACAAGUCAUUGAGGAGCCAACUCGUAAAGAGGCCUUACUAGAUGUAGUGUUAACAACGAAGAUUUUGUAUCAGAUAUUACUGUAGGUGAAAGUUUAGGAUCCAGUGAUCAUCAGUCAGUGUGGUUUAAUAUAAGAACAGUGACCGAAUCACAUCACACAAAAACAAAAGUUUUAUACUUUAAAAAAACCAGACAUUUCUAAAAUUAGAAUAUGUGUAAAGGAGUCAUUAUCAGACUGGAGCAAUUUAAACGGAGUCCAAGAGAAAUGGGAUUAAUUAAAAUUUGCACUGCUUAAGGCAACAGAAAAUUGCAUUAGGUUUGUCAGUAAAAGCAAAAAAUUCAAGAGACCACUGUGGUAUUCCGCAGAUGUGGCCAAAAUAGUAAAAAACAAAAAGUUAGCAUUUAGGAAUUAUAAAAAAAAAAACAGAGUGAGGAAGGCAGAAUGAUCUAUAAGAUUAGGCAGAAAGAGGCUAAGCAAGUUAUAAGAGCUUCCAAAUCACACACACAAGAGAAAAUAGCACAGUCAGUAAAAAAAGGGGACAACACAUUUUUUAGAUUCAUAAAUGAGAAAAGGAAGGUAAAACAAGGAUAAGUUAGAUUAAAAACAAAAGAAGGAAUGUAUGUAGAAGAAGAUAGAGGUCUAGCUGACUGCCUCAAUUAAUAUUUUUGUUCAGUAUUUACAGAUGAAAAUGAAGGAACGGGGCCUCAGUUAGGAAAAAGGACAAAUUAGUCAUUUGUUACAUGUGAGUUAAAGAGGUUCUAUUUCAACUGUCAAAUGUAAAGACAAAUAAGUCAAUGGGACCUGAUGGAAUACACCCAAAAUUAUUAAAAGAGCUUAGUGGUGUACUAGCAAAACCAUUAACAGAUUUAUUUAACCAAUCAUUAUUAACAGGAGUAGUCCCAGAAGAUUGAAAGUUAGCGAAUGUUGUGCCCAUUCACAAGAAAGGUAGCAGGGAGGAGUCAGUUAACUCUAGGCCAGUAAGCCUUACUUCAGUAGUGGGGAAAGUGAUGGAAACCAUGUUAAAGGAUUGGAUUUGUUGAACAUCUAAAAUCACAUGGAUUUCAAGAUCAGAGACAACAUUGGUUUACUUCAGGGAGAGCAUGCAAAACUAAUCUUACUGAUUUUUUUGAUUGGAUAACUAAAAUAAUAGACCAGGGUGGUGCAGUAGACAUUGCCUACCUAGAUUUCAGUAAGGCUUUUGACACUGUUCCACAUAGAAGGCCCAUCAAUAAACUGCAAUCUUUAAGUUUGGAUUCCAAUAUUGUUGAAUGGGUAAGGCAGUGGCUGAGUGACAGGCAACAGAGGGUUGUAGUCAAUGGAGUAUAAUCGAAGCAUGGGCUUGUCACCAGUGGGGUACCUCAGGGAUCUGUACUUGCACCCAUUCUCUUUAAUAUUUUUAUUAGUGAUAUUGCAGAAGGUCUUGAUGGUAAGGUAUGUCUUUUUGCUGAUGAUACUAAGAUAUGUAACAGGGCUGAUGUUCCAGGAGGGAUAAGCCAAAUGGCAAAUGAUUUAGGUAAACUAGAAAAAUGGUCAGAGUUGGGGCAACUGACAUUUAAUGUGACUAAGUGCAAGAUAAUGCAUCUUGGACGUAAAAACCCAAGGGCAAAGUACAGAAUACUUGGUUGUAUAGGAAGAGGCAUUAGCAGUAGAAAGAGGGAAGUGCUCAUGCUAUUGUAUAGAACACUGGUGAGACCUCACUUGGAGUUAUGUACGCAGUACUGGAGACCGUAUCUCCAGAAGGAUAUUGAUACUUUAGAGAGAGUUCAGAGAAGGGCUACUAAACUGGUUCAUGGGUUGCAAUAUAAAACUACACGGAAAGGUUAAAAGAACUUAACAAGUAUAGCUUGGAGGAAAGACGAGAUAGACGGGAUAUGAUAGAAACAUUUAAAUGCAUAAAGGGGAUCAACACAGUAAAGGAGGAGACUAUAUUUAAAAGAAGAAAAACUACCACAACAAGAGGACAUAGUCUCAAUUUAGAGGGGCAAAGGUUUAAAAAUAAUAUCAGAAAGUAUUACUUUACUGAGAGGGUAGUGGAUGGAUGGAAUAGCCUUCCAGCUGAAGUGGUAGAGAUUAACACAGUAAAGGAGUUUAAGCAUGCGUGGGAUAUGCAUAAGGCUACCCUAACUAUAAGAUAAGACCAGGGACUAAUAAAAUUAUUUAAAAAAAUGGGUAGACUAGAUGGGCCAAAUGGUUCUUAUCUGCCGUCACAUUCCAUGUUUCUAUGCAGAAUGAGGUUUUAUAAUUAAAUAAAAUAAAAUGAAAGCAUAUAUGAACACAAGAGUGGGGACUGACUAUGUAUCUUUCAGAGACAUUGCAAUAUCGUAAAAGGAAUAGCAUAGAACCAGAAGAAGGGAGCGUUAAACAAAAGAGGAGGAAGGGAGGAAGAGGGAAAAAAAAUAUGCCCGCACUGUCUAGCUCCAUCCCCCUAACUCAAGCAUAGUCCCAACUGUUUUGCCCUGCCCCCUCCCAGGUCCAAGGCAUCAGAGGACAACCAUUGGAGCAAGUAAAACCAUGUCUCAUGUUUUGCCUGAAUUCUGUCUGUGGCUGUGAGAAUGAAUUCCUCAAUUAUCUUAUCUCUUUGACCACAGUGGCAUCUCCAGGAUUCAUACAUUGGAGGGGGCACAUAAGGGACAAGGGACAAAAUAAGCGGGGCAGAUAUAAAAUGUGUUCUUAUAAUUAUGAUCAGUGCAUUUUCUCAUUUUGUGUAUUAAUGAGAUUGUUUUUCCACAAGUUAGGUAACAGUUAAUCAUUAUUUAUCUUUCAGUUUAGUCUUUUAUCUAAUUGUGUUGACCUCUUAUAUUAUCAUUUUUCAGGUAAUAUUGUUUUUAAUUGCUUAAUCCAACUUCAUGUGGUUCAGAGAUUCCAAUGGCAUUAUUCUGCCGCAAUUUAACUUUUACCCAGUCCUGUCUGUCUUAUUCUCUUCUAAGCCAUUGGUUUUACAAACACACUCCCAGCUACAAUACAAGGUUUAAAAUAUGAUUUUAUGUAUUUACACAUUUUGUCCUGCUAGUGUUGUAGAAUUAUAGAAUUCUUGAAAUUAUCUAAGCUAAUGCUUUGGCAGGAAGAAAUGUGCUGAAUAAUAAAAUGUGUAUUUACUAAAAGAACCUUGAAGCUAACAAUACUAACUACUCAAAAUGGCUGCCAAAGCACCCCUCCCAUCGAGUGAACACCUCGUGCUAAUAAGAUGGCGCCUACAUCUUGUGUCCACUCCCGUGUCAAGGAUGACAUCACCUUUUGAUGGGAGGGCAUCUAACUAACCACUUAACACCUGGACCAAUCAAUAGUGUUUAUUUGCUUUUAUCUUGAAUUCUUCAGUGAUGUAAAAAUGCCUUUAUAAGGGUCUGCGCACCCAUUUUCUGUUAGAAGCCAUUAAACUUCUCCGAAGUUCUUUCAUUAACCUGAACCCUGUGUCUCAGUGUGAAUUUACUUCUGCGUGCACGCAACUUUAUUAUCUUUAAUUUGGACAGGAACAGAUAGUCAUUCAAACUAAUUGGUUUGCAGAAAAUAAUCUACUACAAUUUGGCGCCUUCAACGUGGGUUAUGUCCUGUCCGGGCAGCCGUCCAAGAAGACGCUGGGAGGGAUGAAUCCUGGGGGAAGGAAAAGAGCCUAAUCACCUCUGAGUACACGGUGGAGACUGCUGCAGCACCUAGCCGGUAUGUUCCUGCCCCUGUGAUUGACCUGUCCCAGUGUCUGUGACUGCUGCCGAGAGGACAUCAAAGUCAGGUAAUAACUUGCCCAGAGUCUUUGUAUUGUUAAUGCUACCUAGUUUAGCUGCAUGUUGACUAUCUGUUGCCUGGGUGUGUUUGUAUUGGUUUGUGUUUAGCUUAGUCCCCGGGGAGUGUGAGUGCCUGUUUACCCCUUUUAGGUGCUAGGUGGCUCUAGCGGUAAAGGAAAAAGGGGAGGGGACCUGGUGGAAGUCUGUGUGGACUCCCUACUUUCUCAGGGUUGAGGGAGGUGGCUGAGGCCACACAAGUAAAGGAAAGGGAUUUGAACUGUGAUGCAUGCACUGUAUUUUAUUUGAAAUGUUGUCUUAAUUGUCUGUCACACAGAUUUCUGUGCUUAAUCUUAUCUUACUCUCUGUGUUAUUUACACUUUCCCCUCUUAUUUCUCUUUGUUGAGAGAAGUGAUUGGUCACACACUUCUCGCCACGCUCCAAUCUGCGGCUACCUCAGGUAGGCGGAAUUAGUGACUAGUCUACGUUUUGGGAAGACGUAUGUAGGAACCCACUCUUACGUAGCAGUCGAGCACUGUAGACCUUCUUUUCUCUCUUUCUCUAUAUCUGGGACGCCUUAUAUAGGGAGGAUGGGACAGAAGUUAGAUAAACCCAGUAAGGGCUGGUUAGCAUGUGAUCUAGUGGAAGACAGAGAAGGAGAAGAGAUGGUUAAGAAAGUGAGGAAGAUUGCUAAAGUAUGUGGAAUUACCGUACCUCCGUGCGGCAGAUUGCAGCCAGAGAGCUGGCGUAAGUUACUGACAGAGAAGAAAGGGAAGCUGUCGGACCACGAUUUGGUUCGUACAGCAGAAGCAUGGUACCGAGUAGCAAGAGCUAUUCAGCAAAAGGGAUAGGUUGAGGAAGAAAUUGAUCACAAAGGUUUAAGAUUGUUUGUGUAUUAUAAUAAUUGUGUUACUGUUAAGUCCUCCCAGCCAGCGCCCUAUGAUGGCGCCCAGGAGGUGACCACUCCCAACAUCGCGACAGCAAUGACCGAAAUGUAGCUGACCAUGGUCCCCACCCCUGGUCCCCACCCUACCACCGCCCCUGUUUGCCCAGUCCUGAAUGCUGAUGGAUCCCUAUUCUCCCCCCCAUCAGUCCUACAGAUCUCGUCACCCUCAUCCUCUCUCUGCAGCUCCCUGCACCUCCAGUCCGUUUCUCCCGUCAAAGAUUUCUGGUUUCCAAACGUAUAAGUCUCUGUCCUUCUGUCUUGUUACUUUACGGCGCUCACAUGGUUAACCUUCAUGCCUGCAGUUUCUCUCGUUUCUCUCUCUCCCCUUUUUGCACUCUGUCUCACUUUCUCCCCCCCCCCUUGCCUAGGGGGGAGGAGUGACAUGCCUGCAUUUCGGAGCUACUGAUAAGAGUUAGAGACGGGAUUUUUGCUGGAAAAUAUUCUAAUUGUGUAAUAUUGUGUACAUUGUUAUAUACAUAGACGUUCUAAUUCAAAGGUUAUGGUGUUAUAAGUGUGUAAUAAUAUUAUUAUUAUUGCCAUUUGCAUGGCGCCAACAGAUUCCGCAGUGUUUUAUAUAUAUAUAUAUAUAUAUAUAUAUAAAUUGUGUUUUGUGAUAAAGUAGUGAGGAUUGUGGGGGAGACUAGCUCACAAGAAUGCAUUCAGUGUUGAAUACGGGAUUUAGGAAGGUGUAGCCUGAUAACAAUAAUAGAGGGAUAUUUGGACGUGUUAAGUGUGAUUUGUUGCAAUACUAAGCAAUGUGGAUAGAGGGAUUAUGCAGUAUAGCUAGGUUAGUAUAUGAAGAGGAAGGUGAUUAAUGGUUGUUGGAUGAUAAGGGAAAUUGAUUGAAUUCCGUGAGUUUAUUUUGCAUCAUGUAACUUUAAAGUACAUGUUUCUAUGGACAGCUUUAUGGGCUGUUAAAUGCAUAAUGUUCUCAACUGUCUUAUUUAACCUGCCAGGUUUAUUUAUAGUUUAGUGUUUCAUCUCGGAACUGACUUAUUUUAAUAGUUAUAAUAUAGUGUAUUGUUGAAAGUGCGUCAGCCACCACCCUAAAGAUGGCGCCUAGUAGAGAAGGAGGUUGACUCUGCCAGUCCCGUGACCUAUCUACAGUCACGGUUGCUUCUAAAGUGACGUCACUUCCGCCCUUACCAUGCCCACACCUCCUGUCUUCCUUUCCCACACAUAUCAUGGAUGUCACCCCUCUCACUUCCUCCCUUGCUGUCAUUUCCUUCCCCGCCCCUGUCAUGGCUGCCUCCAUCAUGAGGCCUACCCCUAUUAUGCGCGUCCUAUUUAGAGACAUGUUGUUUUCCUUACACUCUACAUAUUAUGAACAGAAACAUUAUAAUUACUAAAACAAUCAUGCCAUUUGUUUCCCUGUAUCAGAAAUGUGUCCGUGAUAACAAAAAAAAAAAAAAGGUUGCUAAAAUGUCAUUUGCAACUGUGGUGUGACCUACAAAUGAGAUCUGUUGGACACGAAUAUAAGAGCAUAACAGCUGAUUAUCCAGAUUAAUCUUGCAACAAGGGAAAUAGCCAAAUAAUGCAAGUUAUUUUAAACAUUGUAUCUUUACUUAAUCAAAUAUUGCUAGUUACAGAUCGUAUGUUUACAGUAACAUCCUGUACGUUAAAUGAUGGUUUAGCAUUAGAAGGGUUUGUGACAUGUUUUAUUAACCCAGCCACUACUGGUUAUUCAUUUUAGUUACAGGGUGGUAUACUUGUUAUGGCCUAAUUAAUAUAAAUUAUAGUACCGCAAUAGUUAAUGUUUUAUCCAAAGACAUAUAGGAACUUUACUUCACUUACUAUUAACCAUUAUUUAUAAUGAUAGACAUGUUCAGACUGCAAAAAGCUAUGACAUAGAAAGGGGUUAGAGUCAGUAACACAGCCCAUACAGAGGAGAGCAAACCCGCUGAUGCUUAAUGCCCCUGCCACGUGUCUACAGGGGAUGGGGGAGGGCCACUAGCUACUACCCGUUGAGGGUCAUCCCACUACUUGCCUGGUUGACACAGGUGCAGCCCGCAGUGUUCUUAGAGAACAAGACCUGCCUGACUCAUCGUUCCUGUCUGACACCGAUGUCUCUUGUGUUGGUGUUGAUGGUACUUCCCGCAGUAACCCACUCACUCUCCUCCACAUGUCCCAUUAACCUCUUGGGUGCUGAUGUCCUAUCCCGCCUCCAAGCAUCCAUCACCCUCACUGCAGACGGCCAGGUUCAAUUAAAUACACCUUUGUCACGAAAAGACACUACAGUUCUUUGUUCCCUUCCCAUCUUACUUGGAGAUGACAUCCCCACGACAGAAAAAUGUUCUCUGGACCUCCUUUGUUAUCUUGCAGAUCAGGGGUGUAAGGCAUUUCUUGUCAAACUUCAAUUUUGCCAGGCCACAGUAAUCUUUCUAGGCCAUUGCCUGUCCCAUGGCACUAGACACCUCACCCGUGUUCGUGUCGGAGCGGUUCUGGCCAUUCCGCCUCCAAAAAAACAACAACUCCUAAAUCCCUCCACGCCUUUCUAGGCCUCAAUUCUUACUGCCGAGCAUGGAUCCCAGAGGCCUCUCUACUCAUGCAACCUUUGUACGAUGCUCCUAAAUCAGACCCGUUCUGUCUGUCCUCAGAAGCACAUGACAACUUCUACACUCUCCAACGUGCUAUUGCCUCUGCUGCCGCCCUUGGCUUGCCAGACUACACCAAACCAUUCAAAUUAUUUGUGUCUGAAAGACAAGGCCACGCUACAGGAGUCCCUACUCAAGCCCAUGGACCUGGCGGCCGCCAAAUUGGCUUCUUCUCUUGCCAACUAGACAUUGUGGCUAGAGGAACCCCCUCUUGCCUCCGAGCUGUUUUUGCCGCUCAGGAACUCAUCAACCGCACUGGGGACCUGGUUCUUGGCCACCCUCUGACUGUUUUGGCACCUCAUGAUAUUUCUGCCAUACUUAACCAGGUCCAACUCAAACAUGUCACCCCUGCCAGGCACCUUCGUCUCCAAUGUCAUCUCCUGUUACCUGACAAUGUUACCCUUCAAAGAUGUCAGGUUCUGAAUCCGUCCACUCUUCUGCCACUUCCUGAGGGGGGUAGCUACUAUGGAUUUAUCAUGGAUGAAGGCUAUGUCCUACUUCUUACCCACACCAUUAAAAAGAUGCACCUCAAUUUACCCGCCUGUGACGGGCCAGAGUAUGCCUUCUGUACCAUGUGGUACAAGCCAACCAUCAACCCUGACCCUCAUUAUGAAGAUGAACUUUAUCAAUUAAUUGAGGUAAAACUCAUUUUACAAGAUUUUUACUGCGAUACUGAAAGCAACAGUAUGAUUUUGGUUCAACUAUCACCUGGACUUGAACAUCUAUAUCACCAUUGGGACACAGCCAUUCCACAUGUCCCUGUUACCAAAUCAAAGAUAAAGUCAUGGGGUGAUCUCGGGCCCAUGGCAAAACUAUGGGCCACCAUGGAUGAACUACCGCUCCAAGAAAAAGGCGUUGUCAAGUACCCAACAACUGAACAUGUAAAAGCAUGGCCACGGUACUUUCUGGAAGAUGAAUUUGAAGAUCUGGUCAUAAAGCACGACUAUGAUCCAGAAACGCCCCAUAACUGUUUUGAACAGAUGAAAAUGGAAACAACACAUUUGCCAACCGUGCAUGAGGAUCCACUAAUAGAUCCUGACCUCACCCUGUUUGUGGACGGCUCNNNNNNNNNNNNNNNNNNNNNNNNNNNNNNNNNNNNNNNNNNNNNNNNNNNNNNNNNNNNNNNNNNNNNNNNNNNNNNNNNNNNNNNNNNNNNNNNNNNNAAGGUAUGCUGAUAAAGAAGGAAAAUAUCACACAGGAUAUGCCGUCACUACAACAGAUGAAAUUAUCAAAUCAUCAUCUCUACCAUCAACAAUGUCUGCGCAGGAAGCUGAAUUACAAGCCCUAACUUCAGCAUGCAAGAUAUCUGAAGAAAAGCGCGCCAGUAUCUACACAGAUUCAAGAUAUGCACUGGGCGUGGCUCAUGACUUCGGAUUAAUUUGGAAAACAAGAGGAUUUCUUACCACUGCCNNNNNNNNNNNNNNNNNNNNNNNNNNNNNNNNNNNNNNNNNNNNNNNNNNNNNNNNNNNNNNNNNNNNNNNNNNNNNNNNNNNNNNNNNNNNNNNNNNNNACAGAUCUACAUUCUAUUUCUUAAACUUGAUUUACCUUCUAAUUUGAUUCUAAUUCAUCAUUUCUUACAUAUAUAUAUAUUAAGUGACUUAAGAGUUAUUUAUUAAUUAUUUCAUGCUCAAUUACAUAUCCAUAUUGUGUAAACUAAAAACAAUUAACCAAUGAAUAUUAUUAUUUAUUAAUUAUUGCAUACUCAAUUACAUAUCCAUAUUGUGUGAAAUAAAAAUAAUUGACCAACCAUAUACUUGAUGUCAUAUUCGGUUUAGAUAAAGCGACAUGAGUAAUAUAUGUUCAAUUUUAAAUGUAUCUUUAUGCAUUAACAAUCAAUUAGUUCAAAAAACAAUUAGUUCAAAAAACAAACAAUAUCCAUAUCCACAUUUAAUCCCCUUGGGGCAAGGGUGCGUAACCUAUGAAUCCAAUAUGAUUCCCUUUGUGCCAAUCGCUUUUCUUUAUUACCCCCUCUCCAGUGGGGUUGAAUUUGUUCUAUCCCUAUACAACGUAGCCCCUUCAAAGAAAAUAGGGGACAAUUAUUACACUGAAGGGGGACUGAAUGAGUAUCUAAUUUUUUCUUUAUGUUGUUAAUAUGUUCCAAAAGUCUCACUUUUAGACAUCUCUUUGUACGACCAACAUAUUGGCUGCCGCAUGGGCACUGAAGCAAAUACACAACACAGUCCGAGCGGCAGCCAAUCUCUGAUUUAAUAGAAAACUGUUUCCCUGUAACGGAGCUGCUAUAUGAUGUAACCUUGUCUGUAUUUACUUGAGAACAGGCUUUGCAACUUUUACAACCCCGGAAGCCUUUUAUCCCUUUUUUGUUAUUUUUAAAUCCACUUUUUAAAGCAUAACUGGGUGCUAAUAAGUUCUUGAGAUUUUGUUUUUUCCUAUAGAUGAUUUUUGGCCUUUUCGACAAAUGCUCCCCCAAAAUGGGGUCCUCUAACAAUAUUGGCCAAUAUUUCUGUAGACUUCUUUUGAUUCUUGGAUGAUCCACACUAUAUUGUGUGAAAAAAGCUUGUUUAAAGUCUUCCCCCUUUUUCUUGUUGCUAGGGCCAUCCAUUAAAAACUCAUUUCUACUUCUUUUAGACAUCAUCUGGAUUUCCCUCCUAAUUUUCUUCGUGUUGUAGCCUUUAACUAGUUUAUUGGCUACAUGUUGAGCCUGUGUCUGAAAAUCCUUAGUAUGGGAACAGUUCCUCCUCACUCGAGUAAGCUGUCCCUUAGUGAUCCCCUUCAACCAAGGCUGAUGGUGACAGCUACGUUUGUGAACAUAGCUGUUCCCAUCUGUUGGUUUGAAGAAACAUUUGGUUUUGAUCUCACUUCCCUCACUAAAAAGGGUGAGAUCUAAGAAAUUAAUUUCUCUACGAUCCCAUACUGGAGAAAACUUUAAAUUGUACUCAUUUUGAUUUAAAUAAUUGACAAAAGUCUUAAAUUCAAAGUCCGACCCCUUCCAAAUAAUAAUCACGUCGUCUAUAUACCGCCGCCAUAGGACCAGGUUCUCCACCCAGUCAUGACCCAACCAUACGCAGAGGUCCUCCCACCUGCGCAUGUAUAUGUUGGCAUAACUGGGGGCGAACCUGGUACCCAUGGCAGUGCCCACCAAUUGCAAAUAAAACGAUUGAUCAAAAAGAAAAUAAUUGUGUUCUAAUAUGAACUGUAUACCCCACAUGAUGAAGGACCUGAAACCUAUAGAAAUGUCUCUAUCUUGAUUUAGAUAGAAAGCAACUGCCUCCAAACCAAGAUUAUGACUGAUAACCGUAUACAACGAGGUCACAUCCAAUGUGGCCCAGCUGUAGUUCUCCUGCCAUUCCAGAUUUUCAAUUUCUUGCAAAAAAGAUUUUGUAUCCUUUGUAUAUGACAGUGCCAUUUGAGCAUAUUUUUGCAAACAACAAUCCAGAAAGGCAGAAAGAUUUGCCGUAAUCGAUUCAAUGCCACUUAUUAUUGGGCGGCCUGGAGGACUUGUUAAAUUCUUAUGGAUUUUUGGAAUAAAAUAAAAAAUUGGAAUAACUGGGUAGGGGUUCCAGAGAUAUUCAAAAUUGCGUUUUGUAAUAAUAUUUUCAUUUCUAGCUUCUUCUAAAAGGGUUUUUAGUUAACAAUUAAAGACCUGAGAAGGAUCAUUUUUAAGUUUUUUUAUAAGUUUUACCAUCAGCCAAGAUAUUAGAAGCUUCUUGUCGGUAGUAUUGUUCUGACAUAAUGACUAUUUCUCCCCCUUUGUCCGCUUCUUUUAUAAUAAUGUCCUCCCUUGAGAUUAAAUUAUUUAAUGCUAAUUGCUCCCCCUUGGUCAGAUUUUGUACUUGAUCUCCUUUUCUUUUUCUCUUACCUACCCAUUUCUCAAAAUCUUUUUCAACCAAGUUCUCAAAAGUCUCCAAAUGAGACCCUUUACUCUGCACUUGGAAAAAUUUAGACUUAAAAUUUUUCCUGUAUAUCAUUUAGCCCAUUCCCAUCUUUAUUUUCAAAAGGGUUGGGGAAUUUUAAAAAAUGUCUUGUAACUGUCAUAGAUCUGAUGAACUUUUUUAAAGUCAAUAUAUAAUUGAAAAUCAUCUGCCUCUUGAUUGGGGGCAAAUUUCAUUCCCUUCUCUAAUAGUUGAAUCUCCUGUUCUGUUAAACUCGUACCAGAUAAAUUAACAAUCGCCCCUUUGUAAUUCGUCUCCUGAUAUUUCUAAUCUCUCCCUUGGUUUCUUUCCUGAUCCUCUGCCCGUUUCCUUUUCUGUGGAGAUUCCCUGUAUAGAUGAGAAAAACGAUUGGGAUGUUCCCACCUUUUUUCUCGUGGAUGAAAAUAGUUGGUGAUGGUUUUUUCUUUUGGGGCUCUUGCUCUCUCCUGAAAAUUUUCAUUUUCCCUAGUCUCCAAAGGAUUCACUUUUCUAAUUUCUUCCUUAUUUCUCACAACCUGUGCAUGAGUUUCAAAAUGUUUUUCCCUUCUAUAUGGGGGUUGUAUUAUACAAUCCGCAUCAUCAAAUUCAUUCCUAUCUGUCCUUCUCUCAAAACAUGCUUUUUCCCCUCUUUUUGAGUUUUUGUAUGAUAUAUCCCUCUCUCUUUCUGAAGGACUUUGUCCAAAAACCUUAGGAGAUCUUCCUCUACCUGGGGUUUUUCUCCUAGCCUCAAAUGAAGGAAAUCUUUUCCUAGAAUUAUACUGAGAUUUCUUAUUUCUCUCUGGGGUUGUUCUUCUAAAAAUUCUAGAUGGAGUUCUAAUGAAUCUUCUUCUAAUGUUUGAUCUUCCUACUCUUUUACGAGCAAUUUUGUUCUUUAUUGAAAAAUUGUUAUGAACCAUAUCAUCUUUAUCCCUUAAAUACUUAUUAUUCUUGGUAUCAGAAAUCUUUUCAUCUAGAUGUUGUAAUCUUUUAAAUAAGAUCUCCUCCCUUUCAGGUGUCACAAUAGCUUGCAUUUAAAAAACAAAACAAAAAACUUUUCACUGUAAUAGAUUGAAUAGCAGUUAGUUGUCUUCAAGCGGGUGUGUCAGGCCUACAACGUGUACUCUGCCAACCUCUGCCAGUUCACAGUGCCACUCAUAUCUGGUGUCACAGUAGCUUGCACGCAUAGUACCACUAAUCGAAAAAAAAAUGACAGGCAGAGGCAGGCCACCCCGCAGGGGCCGUCGUGGUCGUGGUGCUGUGAUUCCCUUUUGCCCUAGAAUAAUGCCCAGUUUUCAGAGGCCAGGUACCCUGAACUUGAAAAGUUCUGAGGACAUAGUUGACUGGCUAACACAGGACACCCAAUCUUUUACAGCUUCCGCUCGGAACCUUGACGCAACAUCCUCCUCCAGCUUAGCUUCAGGCACCUCUCAAGAUACCACUCACCCGCCUGCCGCCACCACCAACACUAGCACCACAGCCACGUCACUUGGUAUGUCAGAGGAGUUAUUUACACAUCCGUUUGAAGAAAUGAGUGAUGCGCAACCAUUAUUGACAGAGGAUGUAGAUAACAGGAAUAUGUCUAAGUCAGGCAGCAUUACACAUGUACGGUGUGAUGAUGAUGUUGUACCCACUGCUGCUUCCUUUGCUGAGUUGCCAGAUACAAGUGAAGCGGUUGAUGAUGACGAUGCAUCCAUGGAUGUCACGUGGGUGCCCCCUCGGCAAGAAGAAGAACAGGGCGAAAGUUCAGAUGGGGAGACAGAGAGGAGGAGGAGACGAGUUGGAAGCAGGGGGAGGUCGUCGCAAGGAGCUAGUGGCACAGUCAGACCGCAUGCAUCGGCACCCGGGGUCAGCCCGGCAGCACGCCAAUAAACGCAUGCUGUGUCCACCAGCAGAAUGCCAUCAUUGCAGAGCUCAGCAGUGUGGCAUUUUUUUUGUGUGUCUGCCUCUGACAACAUCGAUGCCAUUUGCAACCUGUGCCAAAAGAAACUGAGUCGUGGGAAGUCCAACACCCACCUAGAUACAACUGCUUUGCGUAGGCACAUGAUCGCACAUCACAAACGCCUAUGGGAUCAACACAUGAGUACAAGCAGUACACAAACUCAAAGCCGCCAUCCUCCUCCUGGUCCAGCAUCUUCAGCCACGUCAACCACUGUUGUCCUCCUUGCCCCCUCUCAACCAUCCGCCACUCCGUCUCUCGCCUUGAGCAGUUCCUACUCAUCUGCCCACAGUCAGGUGUCUGUCAAGGACAUGUUUGAGAGUAACAAGCCAAUGUCAGAAAGUCACCCCCUUGCCUGGCGUCUGACAGCUGGCUUGUCUGUACUCUUAGCCCGCCAGCUUUUACCAUACAAGCUGGUGGAGUCUGAGGCGUUCAAAAAAUUUGUAGCUAUUGGAACACCGCAGUGGAAGGUACCCGGACGAAAUUUCUUUUCACAAAAGGCAAUCCCCAACCUGUACUCGAUUGUGCAAAAGGAAAUAAUGGCAUGUCUGGCACACAGUGUUGGGUAAACCUGCUGACGGCUGCCAAGCAUGGAAUGCGUGGCUCUGCAGAGGAGUUGGUGACACCGCCACGACUUGCAGGCAUGCCUGCUUCCACCUCCUCUACUCCUCCUACUCCAUCCUCUUCCAUAACCUCUUCGGCUGAGUCCUCUUCUGCUGCUGCGUCUUGCUCCACAUCAACGGCACCCCCCCAGCUCCCCAGGUACUAUUCCACAUCCCGGAUACGGCAGUGUCACGCCGUCUUGGGUUUAACUUGCUUGAAAGCAGAGAGUCACACCGGACAAGCACUCCUGUCCGCCCUGAACGCACAGGUGGAAAAGUGGCUGACUGCGCAGCAACUGGAGAUCGACAAAGUGGUUUGUGACAACGGAACAAAUUUGUUGACGGCAUUGAAGUUGGGCAAGUUGACACAUGUGCCGUGCAUGGCACAUGUGUGUAAUCUGAUCGUACAACGCUUUGUGCAUAAGUACACAGGCUUACAGGACGUCCUGAAACAGGCCAGGAAGGUGUGUGGCCAUUUCAGGCGUUCCUACACGGCCAUGGCUCACUUUGCCGAUAUCCAGCGGCGAAACAUGCCAGUGAGGCGCUUGAUUUGCGACAGCCCGACACGUUGGAAUUCAACACUCCUAAUGUUCGACCACCUGCUCCAACAAGAAAAAGCCGUUAAUGAAUAUUUGUAUGACCGGGGUGCUAGGACAGCCUCUGGGGAGCUGGGAAUUUUUUUGCCAUGUUACUGGAUGCUCAUGCGCAAUGCCUGUAGGCUUAUGCGUCCUUUUGAGGAGGUGACAAACCUAGUCAGUCGCACCGAAGGCACCAUCAGCGACAUCAUACCAUAUGUUUUCUUCUUGGAGCGUGCCCUGCGAAGAGUGCUGGAUCAGGCCGUAGAUGAGCGUGAAGAGGAAGAGAUGUGGUCACCAUCACCACCAGAACCAGCCUUAUCAGCAUCGCUUGCUGGACCUGCGGAAACGCUUGAAGAGGAUUGUGAGGAAGAGGAGUCAGAGGAGGAAUGUGGCUUUGAGGAGGAGGAAGACCAACCACAACAGGCAUCCCAGGGUGCUCGUUGACACCUAUCUGGUACCCGUGGUGUUGUACGUGGCCGGGGGAAGAACAUACCUUCAUUGAGAUCACUGAGGAGGAGGAACGGGAAAUGAGUAGCUCGGCAUCCAACCUUGUGCAAAUGGUGUCUUUCAUGCUGUCGUGCCUGUUGAGGGACCCUCGUAUAAAAAGGCUGAAGGAGAACGACCUGUACUGGGAGUCCACGCUACUAGACCCCCGGUAUAAGCAGAAAGUGGCUGAAAUGUUACCAAAUUACAACAAGUCGGAAAGGAUGCAGCAUUUGCAAAAUAAAUUGAAAAGUAUGCUUUACACAGCGUAUAAGGGUGAUGUCACAGCACAACGGGAAUCUAACAGGGGAAGAGGUGAAAGUAAUCCUCCUCCUCCCACGACCACGCCGGCAAGUACAGGACGCUUUACAGAUGUGUUGUUGAUGGAGGACAUGCGGAGCUUUUUAAGUCCUACGCAUCGCCACAGCCCUUCGGGAUCCACUCUCAGAGAACGACUCAACCGACAGGUAGCACACUACCUCGCUUUAACUGCAGAUAUCGACACUGAGGAGCGAUGAAUCCCUUGACUACUCUGUGUGCAGGCUUGACCUGUGGCCUGAGCUAUCCCAAUUUGCGAUAGAACUUCUGGCCUGCCCUGCUUCAAGUGUCCUGUCAGAAAGGACCUUCAGUGCAGCAGGAGGUAUUGUCACUGAGAAGAGAAGUCGCCUAGGUCAAAAAAGUCUAGAUUACCUCACUUUUAUUAAGAUGAAUGAGGGAUGGAUCCCGGCGGGACUGACAGUGGGCGAUACAUCCGACUAAAGGCCUGAUGAGGGGGACGUAACAGGGUGUCGUGGCUGCCGGCCCGCCGCGUGAUAUUUAAAUCCCUAGCUCACCCCAGUACCUUGCCCUGUCGUGGUUUCCUGUUCCUUUUUUCCUGAGAGUGCUUUAUCAUUGUGAAUCUGAUUUCCUGGUAUCCUGAUCUUGGCUUUUCCCUGGUUAUUCUGAAUUCUGGUUUCCCUGACUUGGCUUGUGUAAACGGUAUUGUGUAUUUUCUGGCUUCCUUGACCUUCGGCUUUCCCUUUGACCAUUCUCUGUCUCCAGCGUAUUAGUCCGGCAAUUCUAAGGUCCGGUUUACGCGCUGUCCUUUUAUUUUCCUUUUCUUGCCUAUGUAUAUGUUUACAUAGUUUCUGCGUGCUGGACCACACUAGUAGUCGUGACAUUGGGAUUAAACUGAUAAGAAUAGUACUACUUAACACACCACUCCUAUCUGAUGGCACAUUAGAUUGCACGCGCAGUGCCCCAAAUUUGAAGAAGGAGGACCGACCAAGCAUCUUUUUCCAUCUCCCGGUUCCUAAAAUUGAUGCCAUAUACACGUCCCCUGAUAGGAAUAGUACUACUUAACACACCUUAUAAUAAAGCAGAGAAGCAAUGCAGAGAGAGGAGUCUGAAGCAAUGCAGAGAGAGGAGUCUUACUCUUUAUAUAGGAAAGAUAGGGAAGGCAAGAAAGAGGGAGGGGUGGCCUUGUAUGUGAAGGAUAGCAUAAAAUCUAGCCUAAUAAAAGUUAGUGAGGCAAACAUAGAGUCCGUUUGGGCUACGUUAGAAUUUGGUAAUCACACAGUAACUCGUGUAGGUGUGAUUUAUAG
rnacentral:lncRNA from 1 species